GCCCCGGUAGCUCAGCGGAUAGAGCGCCUCCGUCCUAAGGAGGGCGUCGUAGGUUCGAUUCCUACCCGGGGCACCA
rnacentral:tRNA from 1 species